UUUACCUCUGGUUACUCUUCUCUCUCUUCAUAGCCCUGGGCUCCAUGAACAGCAUAAAGCCAGAAAGAAGUGAAGAACAUGUUGCAGAGGGCAGAAACAUCAGCCUGACAUGUAAAUAUGAGGGGGCUAUCUACAAUAUCCAGUGGUACCGACAAUACCAGAGAUCCAGACCAGAGUUCCUGCUCUCCAUCACAGAGGCAGGAGGGAUCCAUCCCACUGAAUCUGAUUUCUCUGCUCACAUUGACAAAACAGAGAAACGAGUUGAUCUGGAGAUCAUCUCAGCUAAAGAGACAGACUCUGCUGUGUACUACUGUGCUCUGA